ACUUCCACUCGUCUUCCUCGAUUCUUCUCGCGCAGCCGCACCUACUCCGAGCCCCUCCUCUUCCCUGUGCCACCGGCCUCCCUCCUCUAUGUCUCUCCUCAUUGGUCGUCGCUCCAAGUCGCGGAUCUCCUCGCUGCAGUUGCAGUGGUCGCCGCUGCCGCCGUCUUCGCCCAUCACAGCUUCUCUUCCCCGCGCUCGCCGAUGGCAACCAACAGCGAGGAGGCGGCACCACCACCCGGCCAAAUCUUCUCUCGCAUGCGUAACUUCCUUGCCAAGCCCUUCCGCUGCACGCGUGCCCUCGCGGGCUCGCUCUUCCUCCCCUACGACCUCUCGAGGACGCGUGCGGUGCUGCCGCGGUCCGCCCGCACUGACGAAGGCCCUCACACGGUUGGUUGCAGUACGGGGUUGACAAGGACUUCUGCAACGUGUCGCGCCAUGUCAUCUUUUAGGACAUGGGCUCAGGUAGCACCUACGCCGUGUACUAAUUGUCCUCCAACGCCAAGGAGUUCGGGAAGAUGGUGUCUGUCAACCAGUUGCAGGUACAAAUUCUCACCACCUUGUCCUUUAGUUGUUCAGUCAAGUAUAUGCCUGCUUGUAAGAACUCUGAAGAAAAUUGUGUUAAUUCUCAUUUUGGACAGUGCUACUGAUGUUGGUUUUGUUGCAAAGGUUAGUUCUGCAAAGUCACACACUCAGGGAGCUCAACGCAAUGGACCGGAAUGUAUUGAUGGACCACUACGCUUUGCGAGAGAAGUUUAAUUUCCUGUUGGUGUCACAAAACAUUCGACUCAAGCAGAAGCAAAAGAGCCAAUGUGUCUUUCAAAGGCAAAAAUCUACUGUAGUCCCACUGCUCAUACCCCCACAACAAAUCUAUUUGUGUGAUAGUAUGACUGAUGAUUGGUAGCCUAAGUCAGUAGGAAAUACAUCAGGGUUAAUACGGCAAUUACCGAAGUACUCCCCAAAUGCGGUGACAAGAUCAAACGAGCAUCCUCAUUGUCUUUGAGUGAAAGAUAUAAAUGGAUAUGUAAGGGGAAAAUUUGAUCGGACGGAGUGUGAUGUUGGAAAUAGAAGGAAGGCCAAGAUGUGUCUGGUUAUAUAUAUUGAUGAGGAAAUCGAGUAAGAUCACUGGAACCUUUCAUCGAAUGCUUUAAUGCCACCAAAUAAGCUGAUGCUAAAUCUGUUUUCUAAUAAUUGCCUGUCGAUGUAUAUUGGUUUCUUGGUUUACUGUAAUAGUAAAAACAGUCUUUUUUUAAUUAUAACUAACAUACACUAUCGCUUUAGUGUGUCGGAAGAUGUUGAUAUUUCACCGGAUGAGCAUUAUGAUCGGCGUGAAGAUAAAUAUGAACAUAGGUUUAUUGAUGAUCAUACCACUCCUACCGGCCAAUUCUCCCAGAGUAGUGAACAAGGUGGUGAGAACAGUGACACUAAUGACAUGAUGGCUUUCUGCAGCUGGCCAAUCCUCAGGUUUGGCGGUCAGUUUGUCGCGUGCUCCUCCUGUCCUGAAUUUGGGGUCAUGUUCAGUGCCUGCUGAACCUGCUUUCUCUGUUCUGAAUCCGAACUUGGGAUCUUCUUUAGUGGCUGCUGAACCUGCUUUCUCUGUUCUAAUCCGAACUUGGGAUCUUCUGCAGUGGCUCCUCAGUCGUUCAACCGUUCGUCUGAAACUUUUCAUUUGUGUAUGUUGUCUUCCUCUUUUUUUUCUUACCUCUUAUUUUUUCCAGUUGGUUAAAUCAAAUAAGUUUAGGUUUUCCUAAAAAAAACAUUUCUUACUUUUGUGAUACAGUGAGGAAUUUAUGUUGAUUUGAACCUUCAAGAGGAAUGAACAAUCAAACAAUUUUGGAUUGAACUAAACUGUUACAAUAGAGAAAAAAAAUGUAUCUCUUAUUCUUAUUAUUAGCUAACAUCCAUAUGCUCAAGUGUCAAGGGCUAAAACCAUAACCUAUCUAGUACUCCCUCCGUCUGAAAAUACUUGUCAUCAAAAUGGAUAAAAGGGGA